AUGUUCACCAUUACACUCCUGUGUGUGUGGCUUUCACUGGGUGACUCUAUAGCAGAGGCAAUAGAACCACUUUCCCUCAAUGAAGCUGUGCUUCAGGGUGGUAAUGUUACUCUGUCCUGCAACUACAAAGAGUUCAGUGGUACUGUACAUAAUCUCCAGUGGUACCGACAGUAUCCACAAUCCAGACCAGAAUUCCUCCUUUAUAUCUUACCAAGUGGAACUAAAAGUGAACCUCUCCCACCGCGUCUAUCUGCCAGUGUUGAUAAAAAUCUGAAACAAGUGGAUCUGUUGAUCUCCUCUGCUGCAGUAUCAGAUUCUGCACUGUACUACUGUGAUCUGCAGAUCUCCUCUGCUGUAGUAUCAGACUCUGCACUGUACUACUGUGCUGUCCAGGAGAUGGUGUUGCAACAGGAGCAGUGA